GUGAAAUGGAAAGCUUGCAAAAACACGGAGACAGCUCAGAGCAUAUGGAUGCCAUUCAAUGAAGCAAAGAGAUAACAGAACACUGGAAAUAAUUUACAAGAAGGUUCAAAGACUUACUGUACUCAGACUGGUAACCAAUUUCAGACUUCAGUGAUCACAAGAUUUAGUCUCCAACUUAGGAUGAGAAGCCACUUUGUGCCAGCCCUAUAGCAACGUUGUACAGCACGGUGGGCAAAACAUUUGGGAACAGAGACUCCAAAUAUGGCACUUGCCCAACUGAAAACAGACACCUGUUGUCAGUGUAACAUGCUGGUAUAAUGACC